GGCGAAAUUCUCGACUCGAAGGUCUGUUGCAAAACAGAGCAGAGAUCGGAUUCGAGCCGAUUUGAAUCGGCUUCGUUGACCCUCUGUUACUGGAAAAAUUGAUCUGUUACUACUCUCUGUGUUACUGUUACUACUCUCUGGUUUAUCUGUUACUGUUACUAUUUGAUACUAAUAUUCCACUUUCCCCGAAACGGUACGUUCCGUCUUCCUCUGUUUAUAGUGUUACUGUUACUGUUACUACUCUCUGGUUUAUCUGUUACUGUUACUAUUUGUUACUAUUAUUCCACUUUCCCUGAAACGGUACGUUCCGUCUUCCUCUGUUUAUACAAGAGAUGAAGAUAGAUCGAUUUUAAUGUUUCUCCCCUUUUUUUUGAUUUUUUGUCUUAUGUAUUUACCUGUUUUUGGAUGUUAUGUUGUAGAUCCGGUUAGAUCUGAUGUGUUUAUUUAUGGUAUUUCAAUUUUUCAGAUCA
rnacentral:lncRNA from 1 species